GCGUGGGGAGGGGCCUGGUGGCGGCGCCCCUGGGCCUGCGCAGGGCUUGCCGAACUGCGGCUCAAGAAAUCCAGUGUGAAAUUGCCACAAACGCAGGCAUGAUUAUACAGAGAGUAGUGCUGAAUUCACGGCCUGGUAAGAAUGGAGUGCCAGUGGCUGAAAACUUCCGGCUGGAACAAAGUACAAUAGCAGAUACAAUCCAAGUGGGACAAGUGCGUGUUCGAACCCUCUAUCUUUCUGUGGACCCUUACAUGCGCUGCCGCAUGAAUGAGGAUACCGGCUCAGAUUACCUCCUGCCCUGGCAGCUGUCUGAAGUUGCGGAUGGUGGGGGCAUUGGAGUUGUGGAGGAGAGCAAGCAGGAUAACCUUGUGAAAGGAGACUUUGUAACUUCCUUCAAUUGGCCCUGGCAGACAGUGGCCAUUCUAGACGGAAGCUUGUUACAAAAACUUGAUCCACAGCUUGUAAGUGGACGCCUUUCCUACUUUCUUGGUGCAGCUGGCAUCACAGGACUAACAGCCCUGUUAGGUAUAAAGGAGAAAGGACAUGUGGCUGUGGGUGCAAAUCAGACAAUGGUGGUGAGUGGAGCAGCGGGUGCCUGCGGCUCUUUGGCUGGCCAGAUUGGGCGUCUGGAGGGCUGCUCUAGAGUGGUAGGAAUUGCUGGCACAGAUGAAAAAUGCUCCAUUUUGGUCCAAGAAAUGGGAUUUGAUGCUGCCAUCAAUUACAAGAAGGGAGAUGUGGCAAAGCAGCUCCAUGAACUCUGCCCAGGCGGUGUGGAUGUUUACUUUGACAAUGUUGGUGGAGACAUCAGUGAUACGGUUAUAAGUCAGAUGAAUGAGAACAGUCAUAUCAUCUUGUGUGGACAAAUUUCUCAGUAUAACAAAGAUGUGCCUUAUCCUCCUCCACUGCCACCUGACAUAGAAAAAAUACGGAAAGAAAGGAAUAUCACAAGGGAAAGAUUCUUAGUGUUGAACUAUAUGGACAAACAAGAAGCUAGUGUAUUACAGCUGUGCCAGUGGAUCCAGGAGGGCAAACUGAAGGUCAGAGAGACCGUGGUAGAAGGCCUAGCAAAUAUUGGUGCUGCUUUCCAGUCCAUGAUGAAUGGAGGCAAUAUUGGAAAGCAGAUCGUCUCAGUUUCUAAGUAAAAGUCACUGCUUCAGGAAAAAAUAUUGGAUUUUCUCCCUAAGAGCGUCUCCAGGGUGACAGAAUCUCAGAAUACCUGAAUACAGGAAGACACUUCACAGAUAGCUGAUCUUCCGUUCCCUCGCUAAUUUAUCUUGGCUCAGAGUUUCUGGUCUAACAAUGCUUUUCAGCAUCUCCAUGGGGAAACUGGAAAACAUGAGUCACCAUUUCCGAGUUUUACUGGCAUAACUUCAAGCCAGCUGGGACUAAUGAGUUUAAGUGUCUUCAAAAGGAACAGAAAAGGGAACAGAUAAUUAUCUUAAGGACAUAAGAGUUACACUACUAUGUACAUUUAGAGACGUUAACAUGUAUUUAUUUAGAGAAUAGGAUUGUUUAGGAUACAUUCUGAUUUACGGGCGGGUGACUUAGGCUUUAAUUUGUUUGUCUUUAAGAGAAGUGCUUCCAAACAGCAGGUUCAGCCAGCUGUCCAGAGAAUGGUUUAUCUAGAUCUGUAUGAGUCACUACCCAGGCCAAAGUAAAUGGAGUCCAAGGACUAGGAAAGAAACACUAUGCAAGAAAUUUAUUGUUAUACAUAAUUUUGCAUGCUUUGAAAAAAUAAGAAGUAUAAAAAUUGCCUGAUAUGGUUGUUAGAAACAGGGAGAGCAGACCUGUCAUUUCCUAGUGUUGAAGAUGGCCCUGGAAGAAGGAAGGGCUUAAUGACUUAUGUUGUAAACUUUGAGGAAGAGAAAGACACUUGCAGCAAAGCAUUAUAUGGUCUCAAAUCUUCCAGUAAGCAUUUUUCAACUACAAAACUGGUCACUGUUUGACUUCCAGCCAGACUAUGAGUCCAGCAUCAACAUAACUAACUCAAGCAGUGCUAAUACCAGUGUCAUGUUGGGACAGAAGCCAAAAUUCCUACACAGUAAAAUUAGUAUGAUGCUAGUUGGCAAAUAAAGAUGGAAAACAACAGUUAACCUCAGCAACCAACUGCUACAAGGUCAGUUAAAUUAGAGGCUUGCCCCAUAUCUGUGCUUCUAUGAACCUUCAGCCUGCUGAAAUAUGAAGAAUUAAAAAACUUCUAAGAACAUAUUGGUAAAAAAAGUAUUCCUGUGUUUAAGUAAACAGCUCCAGCAGCAAAAUGAAUAUUUUCCUACUAAGGUUUCAGAAUAUUGGAAAACUUUAAAGUUUUCUCCCUUAGGGAGAAAAUCUGAAUUAGGAUGGAACAAGGUAAGUUUUCUUUGUUAGGCACCAAAAUGCUGCAGUAGCUGUGUGUGUAAAGCAGACAUUGUCCAGAGACAUUUGACUACACUGAGAUUUAAUUACAUUGUGAUCAGCUGCUACCACUGCAACAAUGAAAAGUCUCAUUUCAGAACAAGGUCUUGGUAUAGAAAUUAAGUAUUUUAUUGAUGCUGAGUAUGUUCCUUGAUCACAUAAAAGUACUUCUAUUGCAGAAUGUCAGUUUUAUUUUAAUGUGUGUUUCUCACAAGUAGAUUUUGUGUCCUGCCUCAGAUUUUCUAAUAGCUGUGCAAAACAAACUGAGAAAGCAACAAACAACACUCUGUAAUUCUCUUAACAGUGUAUUAACUUAGGCAAGUCAGAGCUCCUGCUCUGCUUUUUUUUAUCAUCAAUCAUUGAGAAACAUGAAUUAAGGAAAAAGAGAACUGUCCCCAUUUUAGAAAUAACAAAAAAUCAUAGUUGUUGUCAGUAUUAUCUUCCAAAUCAGUUUGUUUUCCUGCAUGUUCUACUAUAUCCACUGCUGUUUAUUUCUAAGUAAAUUACUACUUUUUCUUGAGGA